ACUUAAAUAGCUUAUUAAAAAGAGCGUAAUAUUGAAGAUAUUAAGGUAAAUAAUUUAAUUAUUUUUUAAGUA
rnacentral:tRNA from 1 species